AGGACGAACGCUGGCGGCGUGCCUAAUACAUGCAAGUCGAACGGCUUUUCUAUGGAAGCUUGCUUCCACUGAGAAGAUAGUGGCGAACGGGUGAGUAACACGUGGGUAACCUGCCCAUAAGAGGGGGAUAACAUCCGGAAACGGGUGCUAAUACCGCAUAGUUUUCUUGAUCGCAUGAUUGAGAAAGGAAAGACGGCCUUUGUGCUGUCGCUUAUGGAUGGACCCGCGGCGUAUUAGUUAGUUGGUGAGGUAACGGCUCACCAAGACGAUGAUACGUAGCCGACCUGAGAGGGUGAUCGGCCACAUUGGGACUGAGACACGGCCCAAACUCCUACGGGAGGCAGCAGUAGGGAAUCUUCCGCAAUGGACGAAAGUCUGACGGAGCAACGCCGCGUGAGUGAAGAAAAGGUUUUCGGAUCGUAAAACUCUGUUGUCAGAGAAGAACAAGUUGGAGAGUAACUGCUCCAGCCUUGACGGUAUCUGACCAGAAAGCCACGGCUAACUACGUGCCAGCCGCUGC
rnacentral:rRNA from 1 species